AUGCAGUCGAACGGAAGGCCCCUUUGGGGGUACUCGAGUGGCGAACGGGUGAGUAACACGUGAGUAACCUGCCCUUGACUUCGGGAUAACUUCAGGAAACUGGGGCUAAUACCGGAUAGGAAUCCUUGCUGCAUGGUGGGGGUUGGAAAGCUUCGGCGGUUUUGGAUGGACUCGCGGCUUAUCAGCUUGUUGGUGGGGUAGUGGCUUACCAAGGCUUUGACGGGUAGCCGGCCUGAGAGGGCGACCGGCCACAUUGGGACUGAGAUACGGCCCAGACUCCUACGGGAGGCAGCAGUGGGGAAUAUUGCACAAUGGGCGGAAGCCUGAUGCAGCAACGCCGCGUGCGGGAUGACGGCCUUCGGGUUGUAAACCGCUUUCAGCAGGGGCGAAGCUUGUGGUGACGGUACCUGCAGAAGAAGCACCGGCUAACUACGUGCCAGCAGCCGCGGUGAUACGUAGGGUGCGAGCGUUGUCCGGAUUUAUUGGGCGUAAAGAGCUCGUAGGUGGUUGAUUGCGUCGGAAGUGAAAACUUGGGGCUUAACCCUGAGCGUGCUUUCGAUACGGGUUGACUUGAGGAAGGUAGGGGAGAAUGGAAUUCCUGGUGGAGCGGUGGAAUGCGCAGAUAUCAGGAGGAACACCAGUGGCGAAGGCGGUUCUCUGGACCUUUCCUGACGCUGAGGAGCGAAAGCGUGGGGAGCGAACAGGCUUAGAUACCCUGGUAGUCCACGCUGUAAACGGUGGGUACUAGGUGUGGGGUCCAUUCCACGGAUUCCGUGCCGUAGCUAACGCAUUAAGUACCCCGCCUGGGGAGUACGGCCGCAAGGCUAAAACUCAAAGGAAUUGACGGGGCCCCGCACAAGCGGCGGAGCAUGCG
rnacentral:rRNA from 1 species